rnacentral:rRNA from 1 species
GAUGAACGCUGGCGGCGUGCCUAAUACAUGCAAGUAGAACGCUGAAGGAGGAGCUUGCUCUUCUGGAUGAGUUGCGAACGGGUGAGUAACGCGUAGGUAACCUGCCUGGUAGCGGGGGAUAACUAUUGGAAACGAUAGCUAAUACCGCAUGACAACAGUUAUUGCAUGAUAACUGUUUAAAAGGGGCAACUGCUCCACUACCAGAUGGACCUGCGUUGUAUUAGCUAGUUGGUGAGGUAACGGCUCACCAAGGCGACGAUACAUAGCCGACCUGAGAGGGUGAUCGGCCACCCUGGGACUGAGACACGGCCCAGACUCCUACGGGAGGCAGCAGGAGGGAAUCUUCGGCAAUGGACGGAAGUCUGACCGAGCAACGCCGCGUGAGUGAAGAAGGGUUUCGGAUCGUAAAGCUCUGUUGUAAGAGAAGAACGAGUGUGAGAGUGGAAAGUUCACACUGUGACGGUAUCUUACCAGAAAGGGACGGCUAACUACGUG